rnacentral:rRNA from 1 species
GAUGAACGCUGGCGGCGUGCCUAAUACAUGCAAGUCGAGCGAACGGACGAGAAGCUUGCUUCUCUGAUGUUAGCGGCGGACGGGCGGGUAACACGUGGAUAACCUACCUAUAAGACUGGGAUAACUUCGGGAAACCGGAGCUAAUACCGGAUAAUAUUUUGAACCGCAUGGUUCAAAAGUGAAAGACGGUCUUGCUGUCACUUAUAGAUGGAUCCGGGUUGCAUUAGCUAGUUGGUAAGGUAACGGCUUACCAAGGCAACGAUGCAUAGCCGACCUGAGAGGGUGAUCGGCCACACUGGAACUGAGACACGGUCCAGACUCCUACGGGAGGCAGCAGUAGGGAAUCUUCCGCAAUGGGCGAAAGCCUGACGGAGCAACGCCGCGUGAGUGAUGAAGGUCUUCGGAUCGUAAAACUCUGUUAUUAGGGAAGAACAUAUGUGUAAGUAACUGUGCACAUCUUGACGGUACCUAAUCAGAAAGCCCCGGCUAACUAUGUG